rnacentral:ncRNA from 1 species
AUAGAUGCUAUGACAGGGAAGAGUAAAUUAUAAGUACAUUUUAAGAGAGGAAACGGUAGCUGAGAAGUUUCUAUAUGUACCUAAUUGAAUGUAGCCCUCGAGCAGCUUUAGUGAACUAACAGUAGUUAAAGCCGGUUAAACACCGUUACCGAAUUGAGAGCCAGUAGUGAAAGGCUUAAGCAAGAUGUACAUUUUUUCUGAUGAAAUGUGUGACAGCUUAACUCGCCUCUGCUGGAAUUAAAGGUGGUACCGCGAACUUAAACUCCUUCGUCCUUUUA